CGCCCAAUUCUUCUUCAUUUCUUCUUCUUCUUCUUUCUUCUUUUCCUUCUAUUCUUCCUUCUUCUUUGUUCUACCCGAACACACACAGAGAGACCGAGUAAGAGGGAGAUCAGAGAGGAGGUUGAGAGCAGAGAGUGAGAUCGAGAGAAAGAGAGACUGAGAGAUCGAGAAAGAGCCAGACCCGGAGAGAUGGGUAGCCGGAGAGGGAAAGAACCAGAGGACCCGAGAGUGGCCGGAGGUCCGAUCCUCCAUGUUUUCUGACAGGGGAGCUGGGUCGCCGAUGGCCGUAGCUGAAUCGACGAUCGGUGAAGCCUAGACCCGCGACCCGUGAGCUCGAACCCGAACGACCCACCGAACCAGAGACGAUCCAGCAGCCUGAGACGCAAUUUCCGGCGGUUCCAGUGGAUUUCCGGCGAAGACCCGUUGACCCACGAAGGCCCGUAAUCCAGAACCCCUCGGACCUGCGACCCGUGACCCGUGACCCGCUGAACCCGUGAGGAAGACCCGGUUCUCCAAGUGCGGUGUCCGGCGACUUUUCCGGCGGAAAUCAGAGGCGAUUUUUAAUGGAUUUCUGAGGAAAAUCCCCUGAGAUGAUGUUUCUUUGGCUGCAGGUGCUUCGGUAUAGUUGAGGGGUUGGUAGCAGUGUACUUGGGAUAUUAUGACUGAAGCUCGCCGCGACAGUUGUAAUUGUCGGACCACGGGUUGUCCACUAUUUUAUAGGUUUGGUAUGGCUUGUGACGUUUGUGUCACUUAUUCUUUGUUAAGCCAUUAUUGUUAUGUAAAUAUUGUGUCAAUAAGACUCAAACAAAUAGAUGUUAAAUGGCUCAAUAUUGUAAUUAAUUUGUGAUAGAUGUAUAAGUUGUAAUUUUCGCUA